UACGUAGGGGGCGAGCGUUGUCCGGAAUCAUUGGGCGUAAAGCGCGUGUAGGCGGCCCGGUAAGUCCGCUGUGAAAGUCGGGGGCUCAACCCUCGGAUGCCGGUGGAGUACUGUCGGGCUCGAGUACGGAAGAGGCGAGUGGAAUUCCUGGUGUAGCGGUGAAAUGCGCAGAUAUCAGGAGGAACACCAAUUGCGAAGGCAGCUCGCUGGGACGUUACUGACACUGAGGCGCGAAAGCGUGGGGAGCGAACAGG
rnacentral:rRNA from 1 species